GGGUCAGUAGGUUGGUCGUGCCACCGGUACGUACUGGUCUCACUGAUUCCUCCUUCCCGAAGAACCGUAAUGCCAUUAAUUUGGUGUUGCGGGGAAACAGGACUGUUACUUUGAAAAAAUUAGAGUGUUUAAAGCAAGCGAACGCUUGAAUACAUUAGCAUGGGAUAAUGAAAUAGGACGAUCGAUCCUAUUUUGUUGGUUUCUAGGAUUGACGUA
rnacentral:rRNA from 1 species